rnacentral:lncRNA from 1 species
CAGUAUGUCUCUGUUGCUGUGUGCUUAAUUCCUACUGAUACCAUUGCAGAGUGGAUCCAUGGAAAACACUGGGUAGGAAAAAAAGAAAACCUUGAAAUAUUAGCUUCAAUGAAGGAAAAUCUGGAUAACUUAUUCUUAUGAAUCUGAAACAAUUUAAGAAAACAAAUGACUGCUUGAUUUUUGUGCCAAUUGAAUAGAAUGGGAUUCAAUUUUUAAUAGCAAGUUGGCAUGGCUAAGUAAGGUCCCUGGGAUUCUCUUGCAAUGCCGUGAAAGCAAAAGGACAGCUCUCCUAACAAGAAGCCAAGAUUGCUACAGGAGGCUGAGGAGAGGAAAAAGCCCUUUUCUCAUCACCAUUGAUUCCUUCAGUCUCCAUGAUUUCCUCUCAAGAACUGCCAUUUGUUGCUGUAGAUGGCCCAGUUGCAGACGUGCCUGAGUUCAGCAUAGUGUUGAGGAGAAUCCCAGAGAUCUGAAUCCCAGGAGAAGUCAGCCCAUCCUGCUGUUCGUGGGAAUCUAUAAAGGAGGUGCACAAAGCUCCAGUUGCCCCUGAUUUGAGAGAUGUCUCCAGAGCAGCACUUGUUCCUGGUAAGACCUCCCAUUCCCUCAUCAAGACUUAGACCAAAACAUUUAAAAGUUGCUUCCCCAUCUCCAAGGCUCCUAGAUUCAUGUCCUCCUUUGGCUCCUAUCCAAUGAUGAUUUCACCUCUAACAACUAGAUGUCAACCUGCAAACACUCUAAGCACCAACUUCUUUCUUUCCAGUUGUUUUUAAAUAGUACCCCUAUUCCAAUAAUUUACUGCCCUCAUCUAGACCUCUAAGCCAUUUGCAACCCAUCACAUUCUUGUGUGCCCACUUCCGAUGUUAUCCAGCUUUGCGUCCAUGGGCCAUUAAUACAAUAGUUCCUUGCAUGCACCCUCAAUUCCUUAGACCAUAGGCCAGCAAACUAAGGAUCUCAGGACAAAUCAGUUCACUGCCUGUUUUUAUAAGUAAUGUUUUAUUGGGACCUGGCCACACCAUUUGUUUAUGUAUUGUCUAUGACUGCUUUUGCACUAAAAUGGCAAAUUGAGUAGUUGUGACAAACUGUAUGGUUACAAAGUGAGCCUAAAAUAUUUACUGUCUGACCCUUUGCAGGAAAAGUUUGAGAGCCUGUGUCCAAGACGCUCUCCAACUUACUCACUUGGAAGGACUCCAGCUCUCCAUUUAUUCUUUACUGGCCCUGAGCAGUAGAGUAGGCUAAACAAAAACCCACACUUAAGCUGAAGAUGCUCAACUUAAACACAUGACCACUACUUUCAAGUAAGCCUUAUUUCUCCCAUUAUCUCAGAUUACUAUUGCACAUCUUCUCUUUCCUUAAAACUCCAAUUACCCCUUUCCUCUUCUCAUUCUUAGCUUAUAAAAUAAUUAUCAGAAAAAGAACUACCCUGUCAGCCACCACCACAUCUAACAACCUGUUGACAUCUCUGCCCAUCUUCUCUGUGUUCCCUCUUAUUUAUUUAUUUAUUUAUUUAUUUAUUUAUUUAUUUAU